rnacentral:rRNA from 1 species
UGGGGAAUAUUGCGCAAUGGGGGAAACCCUGAUGCAGCGACGCCGCGUGAACGAAGAAGGUAUUCGUAUCGUAAAGUUCUGUCCUAUGGGAAGAUAAUGACAGUACCAUAGAAGAAAGCUCCGGCUAAAUACGUGCCAGCAGCCGCGGUAAUACGUAUGGAGCGAGCGUUGUCCGGAAUUAUUGGGCGUAAAGGGUACGCAGGCGGUUUAAUAAGUCGAAUGUUAAAGAUCGGGGCUCAACCCCGCAAAGCAUUGGAAACUGAUAAACUUGAGUAGUGGAGAGGAAAGUGGAAUUCCUAGUGUAGUGGUGAAAUACGUAGAUAUUAGGAGGAAUACCAGUAGCGAAGGCGACUUUCUGGACACAAACUGACGCUGAGGUACGAAAGCGUGGGGAGCAAACAGG